GUUCCUGGCCGCAGCGGUGACCUCCAGCAGAGGAGCUGCAGCUACGUGGGUGGAAAAGGUGCUUUGCUUGGUGCAGCCCUGGAUUCAUCCCACCCUAAAUUUGCCUGAGGUGCCUGUCUCCGGAGCACAGACAUACUUGGGCUCCCUCUGUUGUCGAUGGAGCGAAGCACCUGCGGAAGGUGACCCAGCUCUCAGGUCGCUUGCAUUUCACAAGAGUCUUGUCUAUGUCCAUGAUGAUGAGUGUGGCGGGGCCAAAUCCAUGGGACAUCUGGG